UGGGGAAUAUUGCGCAAUGGGCGAAAGCCUGACGCAGCAACGCCGCGUGGAGGAUGAAGGUCUUCGGAUCGUAAACUCCUGUCAGAGGGGACGAAAGCCCGAAAGGGAUUGACUGUACCCUCUGAGGAAGCCACGGCUAACUCCGUGCCAGCAGCCGCGGUAAUACGGAGGUGGCAAGCGUUGUUCGGAAUUAUUGGGCGUAAAGGGCGCGUAGGCGGCAGGGCAAGUCAGAUGUGAAAGCCCCGGGCUUAACUUGGGAAUUGCAUCUGAAACUGCUUUGCUUGAGUCCUGGAGGGGGUAGUGGAAUUCCCAGUGUAGCGGUGAAAUGCGUAGAUAUUGGGAGGAACACCUGCGGCGAAGGCGGCUACCUGGACAGUGACUGACGCUGAGGCGCGAAAGCUAGGGGAGCGAACGGG
rnacentral:rRNA from 2 species